CGACCCGGUGACGCCCGACGCCAAAGACCAAAGGACCGGGGAAAGAACCGAACCCACCCCCGCCGCCCCCGGCUGUCACCCGCCGGAGUGAAUAUGCCCAACGCAACUGGCGCGGCGAGGCAGUUGUGGUGCAACGUCAGCCGCGACAACCGCAGACAUGAAUCGGCCCCCGGCGGGACUGGCAUCCCGUGCGAGGGCCUGAUCACCAAGGAAGAAGCACCUUCCCC
rnacentral:ncRNA from 1 species